rnacentral:other from 1 species
UUUCCCCUGCGGUGUUCGUGUGGGCCACAUACUCCUUGAACCAAUGUCUACGCGACAUGGUUGCUGGCCGAACAACCCGCUGUUGUGAGCGCCCCUUUGCCGGGCGCACCUGAGGCGGGCCGGUCGCGACCCCCUGAACCACCGGUUCAGGAUGACGGCACACACGGCACAGGCGGGGGAUCC